rnacentral:lncRNA from 1 species
AGUGAGGGUGCACUCUGCAGAGGGUUCUACCAUCACUUGAUGCUUUAUCUGUGAGAAAGCAUGUGUUUUUUUUUCCCCCCAAAGUUCAUAUUUUAGGUUGAAAGCAAUUAGUGAUAAAAGGAAAUUAUAAAAGAAAACAAUCUAUUUAAAGAAUUUCUUCAGUGAUCUUACCAAAUUGAUAUUUUUAAUGCAAGAUACCCUGAUUUCAAAGGUUAGACACAACCAACUUGAAAGACUUGGAGUCUGCCUUGAAACAUGCUGACUGCAUUCCCUACUUAGAGUCCUUUGGAUUCUCUUUAGGUACUGCUUUCUGCAUUCUUCCUCACUUCCUUCUCCUUCCUCAAAUUGUUAAUCUUCUUUCAGGAUGUUCUGGCCACAGCUCCCUCUGUCCACAAAGCUUUUGGUAAAAGGUACAAGAGGAGGAAGGGCAAAGGAUGUGCAAAAACAGAAUCGCCAGCUGAAGUCAGCACCCACCGGGAAGAGGCUCUCUGCCAGGAGGACCGUCCUCCACGCUGAAGGAGGGUCUAAACAGCCAGUACUUAGAUAAAUGUUUCCUAGCUUCUGCUGAUUGCCAUUUUGAGUUUAACUUAGUCAUUAAUAUGCAAUUAACUUAAAAACUUUUAUCACUAUUAUUGCUCAGUGCAAUGCUGUAACAUGCUGGGCAUCAACAUGUAGUAAUAACUGAUAGAUUGCAGUCUGAAUUGUGUUAAUAAAUUUCAUUUUUCCUGACAAAUUUCCUAAGAACAGCUUUAAUUCCUAAAUUAUAUAUGUAUAGAAUUGUAAUAAUAUAUAUUAAAUAUAUAUUGUGGCAAUAAAAUGAAAUGCAUAGUAAAAUUCUUAUUGCCUCGGCUGAAUCAUUUGUCCAACAAAUACUUAUUAAACAUUUACUAUUUGCCAGGCAUUCUACAUGCUGACGAAAUGGUGGUGAACAAUAUAGAUAUAGACAGAUAUUCUACCCUCUUCGAGACUUUGCUGUUAGUGAAGAGAGUAAGACAAUAAAUAGGUGAAAAAAAGG